rnacentral:rRNA from 1 species
UACGAAGGGUGCAAGCGUUAACCGGAAUUACUGGGCGUAAAGCGUGCGCAGGCGGUUUUGUAAGUCUGUCGUGAAAUCCCCGGGCUCAACCUGGGAAUUGCGAUGGAGACUGCAAGGCUAGAAUCUGGCAGAGGGGGGUAGAAUUCCACGUGUAGCAGUGAAAUGCGUAGAGAUGUGGAGGAACACCGAUGGCGAAGGCAGCCCCCUGGGUCAAGAUUGACGCUCAUGCACGAAAGCGUGGGGAGCAAACAGG